rnacentral:rRNA from 1 species
GACGAACGCUGGCGGCGUGCUUAACACAUGCAAGUCGAACGGAAAGGCCCUGCUUUUGUGGGGUGCUCGAGUGGCGAACGGGUGAGUAACACGUGAGUAACCUGCCCUUGACUUUGGGAUAACUUCAGGAAACUGGGGCUAAUACCGGAUAGGAGCUCCUGCUGCAUGGUGGGGGUUGGAAAGUUUCGGCGGUUGGGGAUGGACUCGCGGCUUAUCAGCUUGUUGGUGGGGUAGUGGCUUACCAAGGCUUUGACGGGUAGCCGGCCUGAGAGGGUGACCGGCCACAUUGGGACUGAGAUACGGAGCAGACUCCUACGGGAGGCAGCAGUGGGGAAUAUUGCACAAUGGGCGGAAGCCUGAUGCAGCAACGCCGCGUGCGGGAUGACGGCCUUCGGGUUGUAAACCGCUUUCGCCUGUGACGAAGCGUGAGUGACGGUAAUGGGUAAAGAAGCACCGGCUAACUACGUG